ensembl:lncRNA
GCAUCUGUUUUGUAUUUCUUGGGGGCAUUUGUAUCGUAUUGCUUGGGGGCGUUUGUGACAAAUCCAACAAGACUCCACGCACAAGGAAUCAAGAAAAGGCCAUCAAUGCUGGUGUGCGAUGGCUCGAUUGUCCUUUUGCAAUCUCUGUCCUACAAUUUCUGUCGAUUGAGCCUUCAGGAGCUGCUCUGCAGAUAUUAUGAUAGGACAGGAAGACUCCACCAAUUCUGCAUCGCUGCUUGAGCCAUGUGAUGAAAAACGGAUAAGACCUUUGUCAAAAACAGUGACCUGGGACGCCACGGUACAGGUCCUGUGUAUGACAAACUUUCACGGAUGUUCAAAAGUAGCUGCAUGUAAACCCACAAACUGGCACAAAAGGACUAAAGGUGCAUUAGUCCAUCCUGGAUAUGACAAGGUAUCACAAGGAAUUAUGGAGAAAAGCCAGUGGGACCUGAAAAUGAUCCACUUUCAAUGGAGACAACUCACUAGACUCGACGACUUUGUCUACACCUACAAGACGACAGUGACAAUGACCCUUCGAAGAGACUACAGUGACUCUCUGAAGGGGAAGGAAAAGAAGAAGAACCCAACUGAGGAUGAUAAGGACGCACAGGUAGGCAUCAUUGAAAUCACAGUUGAUGCUACAUCACAGCCCUGUGAUUGGCUGGCGACCAAUCCAGGGUGUAC